rnacentral:rRNA from 1 species
UACGGGGGAUGCAAGCGUUAUCCGGAUUUAUUGGGUUUAAAGGGUGCGUAGGCUGUGAGGUAAGUCAGCGGUGAAAUGCCCCCGCUCAACGGGGUGAAGUGCCAUUGAUACUGCCUUGCUGGAAUGCGGAUGCCGUGGGUGGAAUGUGUGGUGUAGCGGUGAAAUGCAUAGAUAUCACACAGAACACCGAUUGCGAAGGCAUCUCACGAAUCCGCGAUUGACGCUGAUGCACGAAAGCGUGGGUAUCAAACAGG